rnacentral:rRNA from 1 species
GGCGAACGCUGGCGGCGUGCCUAAUACAUGCAAGUAGAACGCUGAAGAGAGGAGCUUGCUCUUCUUGGAUGAGUUGCGAACGGGUGAGUAACGCGUAGGUAACCUGCCUUGUAGCGGGGGAUAACUAUUGGAAACGAUAGCUAAUACCGCAUAACAAUGGAUGACACAUGUCAUUUAUUUGAAAGGGGCAAUUGCUCCACUACAAGAUGGACCUGCGUUGUAUUAGCUAGUAGGUGAGGUAAUGGCUCACCUAGGCGACGAUACAUAGCCGACCUGAGAGGGUGAUCGGCCACACUGGGACUGAGACACGGCCCAGACUCCUACGGGAGGCAGCAGUAGGGAAUCUUCGGCAAUGGGGGCAACCCUGACCGAGCAACGCCGCGUGAGUGAAGAAGGUUUUCGGAUCGUAAAGCUCUGUUGUAAGUCAAGAACGGGUGUGAGAGUGGAAAGUUCACGCUGUGACGGUAGCUUACCAGAAAGGGACGGCUAACUACGUG